UUGGGCGUAAAGAGCUCGUAGGCGGUUUGUCGCGUCUGCUGUGAAAACUCAGGGCUUAACCCUGAGCUUGCAGUGGGUACGGGCAGACUAGAGUGCAGUAGGGGAGACUGGAAUUCCUGGUGUAGCGGUGAAAUGCGCAGAUAUCAGGAGGAACACCGGUGGCGAAGGCGGGUCUCUGGGCUGUAACUGACGCUGAGGAGCGAAAGCGUGGGGAGCGAACAGGAUUAGAUACCCUGGUAGUCCACGCCGUAAACGUUGGGCGCUAGGUGUGGGUCUCAUUCCACGAGGUCUGUGCCGCAGCUAACGCAUUAAGCGCCCCGCCUGGGGAGUACGGCCGCAAGGCUAAAACUCAAAGGAAUUGACGGGGCCCCGCACAAGCGGCGGAGCAUGCGGAUUAAUUCGAUGCAACGCGAAGAACCUUACCAAGGCUUGACAUUCAGGGUAAACCAUCAGAAAUGGUGGGUCCGCAAGGGAUCUUG
rnacentral:rRNA from 1 species